UGCAAGAAUGUGCUGUGAAGAGAAAAGCCCU
rnacentral:piRNA from 1 species